rnacentral:rRNA from 1 species
UACGUAGGGCGCAAGCGUUUGUCCGGAAUUAUUGGGCGUAAAGAGCUCGUAGGCGGUCUGUUACGUCUGCUGUGAAAACCCGGGGCUUAACCCUGGGCUUGCAGUGGAUACGGGCAGACUAGAGGCAGGUAGGGGAGAAUGGAAUUCCCGGUGUAGCGGUGAAAUGCGCAGAUAUCGGGAGGAACACCGGUGGCGAAGGCGACCCUCUGGACGGACACUGACGCUGAGACGCGAAAGCGUGGGGAGCAAACAGG